rnacentral:ncRNA from 2 species
GGUCAUGAGCGCCAGCAUUGAGCCCCGGCUUGCUGGCCGGCAACCCUCCGUUCGUGGGUGGGGUGCCCCGGGUGAUGACCGGGCCCGGCGCGCGGUGCGCUGGGCAAGCCGCGAAA